AGCAACUAUACGGUGAAACUGCGAAUGGCUCAUUAAAUCAGUUAUCGUUUAUUUGAUAGUACCUUACUACAUGGAUAACCGUGGUAAUUCUAGAGCUAAUACAUGCUAAAAACCCCGACUUCGGAAGGGGUGUAUUUAUUAGAUAAAAAACCAAUGCCCUUCGGGGCUCUCUGGUGAUUCAUAAUAACUUAACGAAUCGCAUGGCCUUGCGCCGGCGAUGGUUCAUUCAAAUUUCUGCCCUAUCAACUUUCGAUUGUAGGAUAGAGGCCUACAAUGGUAUCAACGGGUAACGGGGAAUUAGGGUUCGAUUCCGGAGAGGGAGCCUGAGAAACGGCUACCACAUCCAAGGAAGGCAGCAGGCGCGCAAAUUACCCAAUCCCGACACGGGGAGGUAGUGACAAUAAAUACUGAUACAGGGCUCUUUUGGGUCUUGUAAUUGGAAUGAGUACAAUCUAAAUCCCUUAACGAGGAACAAUUGGAGGGCAAGUCUGGUGCCAGCAGCCGCGGUAAUUCCAGCUCCAAUAGCGUAUAUUAAAGUUGUUGCAGUUAAAAAGCUCGUAGUUGAACCUUGGGCCUGGCUGGCCGGUCCGCCUCACCGCGUGCACUGGUUCGGCCGGGCCUUUCCUUCUGGGGAACCGCAUGCCCUUCACUGGGCGUGUUGGGGAACCAGGACUUUUACUUUGAAAAAAUUAGAGUGUUCAAAGCAGGCCUUCGCUCGAAUACAUUAGCAUGGAAUAAUAGAAUAGGACGUGCGGUUCUAUUUUGUUGGUUUCUAGGACCGCCGUAAUGAUUAAUAGGGAUAGUCGGGGCCAUCCGUAUUCAAUUGUCAGAGGUGAAAUUCUUGGAUUUAUUGAAGACGAACUACUGCGAAAGCAUUUGGCAAGGAUGUUUUCAUUAAUCAGUGAACGAAAGUUAGGGGAUCGAAGACGAUCAGAUACCGUCGUAGUCUUAACCAUAAACUAUGCCGACUAGGGAUCGGACGGUGUUAUUAUUUUGACCCGUUCGGCACCUUACGAGAAAUCAAAGUCUUUGGGUUCUGGG
rnacentral:rRNA from 4 species